CCUCCCCAUUCUACAUGGUGUUCUGUUGCUGGGUAAUUGCUGUCAAUUAUUUCCUGGAGACAUGAUUAGCUUCCUAGGGUUGUCACGCCCAGUGGGUCUGCAAUCAUUUACUUGCCUUUUUCCCUCGAGCUCUCUCUGCCAACUCUGGCCAAAUCACAUCUGAAAGCUUAUUAAGACAUCCAUUCAGCUCACAAUGUCGUGGCUUCCUCCUAGUCUGCUCGUCACAGCUUCUGAAAGUCUUAGGGCUUCAGGUUUUGUCAGACUGCUCCCUUCUGCCGGCAGAGGACCUGUAACACUGCCCUAUCGAAGAGUCAGGGAAUAAUUCACAAAUGGGAGGAAUGCUUUUGAAUGAGAGAAAUGAAGUCUGAACUCUGCCAGCAGUAAUGCCAGGAGAAGAGAGGGAUGUGCAUGUUGUAAGGGAGGGAGAACGAAGGAGGGGUCAAGAUCUAUAAUGAACCACCUUUCUGGUGACAACAGUCCACCCUCCUUGGCAGAGAGUUCCAGCACAGCGACUGCAGCCGCACGGGAGACAAGAGGCUGGGAGAGCAGCUGUUUCAGUGUUUAAGAAAGGCCAUGUGAAUACAGAGCAAGAAAAUGGCCACCUGCAAGCCAGGAAGAAAGUCCUCACCAAAACCCAAACCCUCCUGGACCUUGAUCUUGAACUUCCAGGCUCGAGAACUGUGAGAAAAUAAAUUUCUAUUAUUUAAGCCACUCAAUCUAUUGUAUCUUGUUAUGGCAGCCUGAGCUAAGACAGCUCCCCUCAUGGUGGAAUUGCUGGCAUGGACUCAAGAUCAAUAUUCCUACUUAGACUAAACUCCUUGAGGACAGGAAUUCUGUUUUGGUUAUCUUGUAUUCCAGUACCUGGCAUGGUUCCUAGAACAUAGCUCGUCUUUAAUGUGUGUUAUGUGGAUGUCAGAAAAAACUAAUAACUAAUUGCUUUCCCUAGUCAUUAACUGGUCUUCAGGAGCCUGUAGAUCCCAUGAGAAAUAGAGAAGUGUCACCAAGUCAGCAAACCUUUUUCUCCUUCCCCCACAGAUGAGGCAGGCUAUGGCUCCCGAACCUCCAAGAGAACUAAACGGAUGUAGUCCUUCUCCUGUCUCCCUCCCUCCCCAAAAUAGAGGACCACAGCUGCUGGGAGAAGAAUUACCAGCCUCAAGACAGACCCGACCCAGUGACACAGGUCUGUCAGCACCCCAAGGACUGGACAGCGCCACAGCCCCUCCAGGAAUUUUCUUCUCCCUACCCUCAACCCCUGUUGGGUAAAACCACAAACACUAAAGACAAACCAAAAGAAGCAAUAUCACAUUAUAAUAAAACCAAUCCCCACACAUUAGUCUACCUUCCAUGCAUACAUUUCUCCCUCCCACUUGUUAAAUCGCUUUGAUCAGGCUUCUUUCUGCCCCCAAUUCUCACUAAACUGUUGAUGUUGAAGACUGUGGGCACAAAGAACUAUAGAAUCAAGGAGAGGAUUCUUUCUUGCUUAGUGUGCUAUGGGUGAAAGGGAACAGCAAAGUUCUCACAGAAAAGGGUAGGUCUGGGAUGUGUGAUGGAAGAUAUGUAGGAUUUUGUUAGGUAGAGAAGGGUAGAGGAGAUAGGCCGAAAAAACCAGCAAGAGCAAAACAGGCAGCGUUGGUCUGCAAGUGCACAUCAUGAAUGGGAAAGACACGCAAAGAGACUGUUGCAGCUGAAGCUUAUAAUACAUGGGCAAUGAUCCAGAGAUCACGUUGCAAAGUUGGGCUGUGAAAAAAAUUUCAUAUCAUGCCAAAGACAUUGGUUUGUAUGUUGCAUUUGUGAUGGGAGCCCUAGAAGUUGGUAAGCAGAAUAGAAACUAGUUAUUUUUUACUCAACUUGGAAUUCAAGAAUUCCAAGAAUUGGAUUAAGUAUAAUUAUGGGUUGAUGCUACACUUUCAAGAUUGUAGGCACAUGGCUUUCUUUCUCUUUCUUCAUUUAUUUCUUCUUUAAUUCCUUCCUUUCCUCUCUCCUCCUUUCUUUUUAUGUUAAUAGGUUUAGGUUUACAGAAAACUUAGCAGAAAGUACAAAGUUUCCAUGUGCCCUCCACCCAUUACUGCCCCUACCCUCUGCCAGUUUCCACACAUUUUGCAUUGGUGUGGAAAAUGUUACAAUUGAUGAGUCAAUAUUGAUACACUACUAUUAAAUAAAUCUAUGGUUUACAUUA